rnacentral:lncRNA from 1 species
CUGAUAGUUUGUAUUUAUUUGGGAUAGGAUUUAGUGUUUAUUAUCCUCUCUCUUGUGUUUUAUUCUAGGUGAAUCAUUGGAUCACUCAACUUUUGAACUCCAACUUUGUGUUUAUCUUGAAAAAUUUUCAUUUAUCAAUAUAGAGUUUGUGUUUAUUAUUUACAGUUUCUGUUUAUCUACAUAAAGAUUCGAAUUAUGAUC